AGACAGCAGUAGCCGCGGUAAUACGAAGGGUGCAAGCGUUAAUCGGAAUUACUGGGCGUAAAGCGUGCGCAGGCGGUUUGUUAAGACAGAUGUGAAAUCCCCGGGCUCAACCUGGGAACUGCAUUUGUGACUGGCAAGCUAGAGUGUGGCAGAGGGGGGUGGAAUUCCGCGUGUAGCAGUGAAAUGCGUAGAUAUGCGGAGGAACACCGAUGGCGAAGGCAGCCCCCUGGGCCAACACUGACGCUCAUGCACGAAAGCGUGGGGAGCAAACAGGAUUAGAUACCCCCGUAGUCCCUGUCUCUUAUAC
rnacentral:rRNA from 1 species